UGUGCGGCUCAAGGUUUUCUAUC
rnacentral:misc_RNA from 1 species